CCUUUAUCUUUUUUUUUUAUGCAGCUUGUAAUUUAUGGUGGUUGUAUGGUGUGUAAGAGUUGGUGGAAUUAAAAAAAGGAAAACUUUCAUUGGGCAUUUGGUCAAUUGUGAUGCUUGGAUGAACAUCCAUCUCCGUUUAGCUUUAAUUUUCUUUAACCCUAAUAUCCUUGAUCUGUUUUAGAUUCCAGAAUUUCCCAUCCCUUUCCAUGCGUUCAUUUUAUGUUCUUGACCCUCUCUUUUCUUGCAGGUUGCUUGAUUUUUCUUUUUUGCUCUAAAAAACAUGCUUUCUCUUUCUUUACUCAAGACUGCUCAAGGCCACCCAAUCCUUGAAAUUCAUGGCGGUUGUAUGUCGUAACAAAUGGUGGAAUUGAAAAACAGAGACUUACAAUGGACAUUUGGUCAAUUGUGAUGCUUGAAUGAACAUCCAACUCCGUUUAACUUUAAUUUUCGUUAACCUUAAUAUCCUUGAUCUGUUUUAGAUUCCAAAAUUUCCCAUCCCUUUCCAUACGUUCAUUUUAUGUUCUUGACCCUGGCUUUUCUUGCAGUUUGCUUGAUUUUUCUUUUUAGGUCUAAAAGCAUGGUAACCAUCUCAACUGUUUUUUAUUUGAAAACAUCUUUCUCCUGUUUUCUUUGAUGCACUUAAUUUUUUUUUUCUUUUGUUAGCUGCAGCUUCCUCUUUCUUUACUCAAAAGUGCUCAAGGCCACCCAAUGUUGGUGGAAUGGAAAAAUGAAGACUUACUAUGGGCAUUUGGUCAAUUGUGAUGCUUGGAUGAACAUCCAUCUCCGUUUAGUUUUAAUUUUCCUGAACCCUAAUAUCCUUGAUCUGUUUUAGAUUUCAAAAUUUGCCAUCCCUUUCCAUGCUUUCAUUUUAUGUUCUUGACCCCAGCUUUUCUUGCAGGUUGCUUUAUUUUUCUUUUUGGAUCUAAAAAACAUGCUUCCUCUUUCUUUACUCAAGACUACUCAAGGCCACCCAAUGCUUGUAAUGGUGGUUGUAUGUUGUAGCAGUUGGUGGAAUUGAAAAACGGAGAGACUUAUGAUGAGCAUUUGGUCAAUUGUGAUGCUUGGAUGAACAUCCAUCUCCGUUUAACUUUAAUUUUCCUUAACCCUAAUAUCCUUGAUCUGUUUUAUAUUCCAAAAUUUGCCAUCCCUUUCCAUGCAUUCAUUUUAUGUUCUUGACCCUAGCUUUUCUUGCAGGUUGCUUGAUUUUUCUUUUUUACUCUAAAAAACAUGGUAACCAUCUCAACUGUCUUUGAUUUGAAAACUUUCUUUCUCCUGUUUUCUGACACUUUAUUUUUUUUUCUUGUAUUAACUGUUGCUUCCUAUUUCUUAACUCAACACUGCUCAAGGCCACCCAAUGGUAAGAAAGAGAUGUCUGUUUUUCUUGUCGUGUCAUUUGACCAUAUGAAUCUAGAAUUUUCUGCAAAUUUGUAGACUUUGUUUUACGACCUUUAUCAUUGUUUUUCUGGAGCUUAUAAUUCAUGGUUGUUGCAUGCUGUAACAGUUGAUGGAAUUAUAAAAAGGAGAGUACAAUGGGCAUUUGUUCAAUUGUGAUGCUUGGAUGAACAUCCAUCUCCGUUUAGCUUUAAUUUUCUUUAACCCUAAUAUCGUUGAUCUGUUUUAGAUUCCAAAAUUUGCCAUCC